AGCCUUUGCCACUACUCAGGCAUCUCUCUUGAGCCAAAGGAAAUCUCUCCUUAGUUUGCUUCAGCAAGUAGGGUGACAGAGCUCUGUAGGUGGGCCAACGUACUGAAAACCUGUCAAAAGUGGUAGUAUUUUCAGAGAUGCAGAGCUGUUCAAGCUAGAAAUAAGUAGCAGGUCUCAACUCUUUCCUUUCUUAAAGGCAACUUCUGUGUUCAACCAGGCAGCUCUACAAUUUCCAAAGCUAGCAAAACCUGAUCUAAAGGCAGAGAUCAAAUCUCCAGCAAGAAGGCAAUCACUACUGGAACACACAGAUGAGAGACAGUAGAUUCACCAUUGUUUGUGAUCUUUUUCUUGCAGUUGGAUGACGUUCCUUGUGAUAAGCUGGUGCUAAUCGGAAUUGUUUGCCAGGUGUAAGAUGUGCCAAGUGGUAUCCUCUGGUCUGCAUUACACAAGAGAGUACAAAUACUCUGUUCUGCCUCUGGCAUCCACAAAUCUCUGAAACCCUGUAAUGGCCUUGUGGGCUGUGGCUUAUGGUGUGUGACAGAUAUGAUCACUAGGAACCAAGUGACCUCCUGGGGAAAGUUUGGAUGCUUGUGUGCAUUUGCUUGGAUGCAGAUUAAAUAUUGGUCAUGAAAAAUGCACCCAGAGAAUGUGCGCUAGUGAGCUUUGCAAUAGCCAGCUUGAAAUAUGGAAAAUGAUUCAGAAACUGCCAAAAGUUGGCUUCUUCUCCCUUUUUGAUCUUUGGCUUCACUGUACCUUGCUCUUGUGAGGAAAGAACACAAGGCUGUCUGCUAGCUUUGUUAAACAAUUCCAACCUUCUUCUCUUCAUACGCAAAAUGUUUAUAAUCCUCCUGCCCUCUCUUGUCUCCCAGAACAUCUUUGUCCUUUAGCUCCAAUGGACCAGUUUCCAACAUUUCGACUCGGCACUCUGAAGCCUCCCCUGAAUUUAAGCCAUGCGCUCUGCAGCACCAAUUGGGCUGAGCAAGUUCUCCCCACCCUUCCGCGGGCCCUUCGGCUACACGUGCGUGGCUUCACCUGCGGCAGCUCCCAGGACAGGCUGGCUCAGCUCCUGCGAGCAGAGGAUGGCAGUUCCUUCAGACAGGCACGUGGUGGCAAGAUCUGGGGUUCGGUUUCCUCGUCCUACACAAAGAAAGCUUCUUGAGUUCGGACUCCUAGCCACUACCGGUAGGUCCUGCCUUGCUCAGCUGUCGUCGUCUCAGUGUGGUUUCGCCAGGUGGGGUGGGAAGGUGGGUGGGAGGGGAGGAGCUGGAG
rnacentral:lncRNA from 1 species